ACUGGCACAAUGAUGAUACCACUUUUGCCGUUUACCCAUCAGAGGGUUUCUUUGAAGAAAUAUUUGAGACUGAGAUGCCAGU